AGCCGCUCGGCCCGGCCCGGGCUCCGCAGGCAGCACUGGGCAGGGCGAGCCCGGCCCUGUGGAGAGGCUCACCUGGAGGUGUCGGGCAGGGCACGGGAGGGGGAGCCGCCGGCCGAGACUUAAAAGCCGCGGUGUGUCCCUGCAGGAGGGGCGGGUUUGGGGCAGAGGAGCUCUGGGGCCGCGCGAGUCCCUCUCGCUCCCUCGGGCAGGACGGCGAGAACUUUUAAAGCGAGGUUUUCAUUAAAUGGCUUAUCCAGGAGCUUAGAGCCACCCCGGGCUACAGCGGGAGCAGCCCUCGGGCGCGGUGAGGCUGCGUCCGCGCUGCGAAGCGACUGACCCCGCGGGGAGAGGUGCCCGCACGGGACUUGCUCUCCUCCUGAUGUCCCUGCCAGAGCGGCCGCCAUCUGCGCCAAGGUUUUCAGGACAAUCUCAUGGUAUGGCUCAAGAAGACAUGCUCUUAACCCUUCAGACCUCCUUCUCAAGCCUUCAGCCUGAGUCUCAUUCCUAACUGGAGAAUCACAGAAGCAUAGAAUGGUUUGCGUUGGAAGAGACCUUAAAGAUCAAAGCCCCAUGCAACCUGGUCUUGGACACCUCCAGGAUGGGGCAUCCAUGACUUCUCUGGGCAACAGUAAAACCUGUGAUGAAGCAUUUCUGGUUUCCCUGCCCCAGACUUCUCAGUCUUGACCCCACUGGAUCAGUGUCACCACAGCCAGGUACCUCCAAAAGCCCAGAGCAUGAUCUGAGGGGCUCAGGUUCAGGAGUUUUGAUAGAAAUGAAGCAUUGCUGCUGGGCUGCCUCGCUCAGACAUGAUGGUUCUCAGGGGACACAGCUGCUGAUCAGAUGUCCCUUUAUUCCUCCUCCAUGCUGAGAAUUGGUUCCCUGCCUCAGUAGACGUCUUCCCUCUGUUCUCUCCCACUGAAGUCCAACCCUUGCUGGUUCUGUGUGUAAAUCAGACACUUUCCUCUCCCACAAGCUCUAAGGCCAGCAGGGACUGCAGACAGCACUGGAGAAAAGGCUUCUUGUCACCAGCUCCAGACCCAGACAGACUGGGAAGACCCCAGAACCAUCCAGAAGAAAAAUCAGAAGAAAAAUUGUGGAUAAAGUCAUGCUUUACCCUGAAUCUGUGCGUUUCUACUGAAAUGCAGUCAUCAGAGAAUUUAGCUGCAUGUUUUCAGCAGGUAUAGCAGGGUAUAGCGGUACAUGCAUAGCGUGGUUUGUUACAGUCUAUGACUUGGCCAAGUUAGGAUACAUUCUCACUUAUUUGGCAAAAGUCGCACUCCCAACACAGAAAUUACACACUAUCUUCCUGCCAAACACAUUGCUGCUCCAGAGCAGGGGGCACAAGCAUUGUUUAUAUUCAUUGCAACUACUAAUGUCAACACAACAAAAUUUUUUCUUCAUAGCCAUAUCUACAUAUAAAGAAACUUGCAAAGUAUUUACCCCGAAGCAAAGAAGAGUCUGGAAAAUAAGAGCUUAAUUUAUUAAAGAUGGUGUAGUCCUAAGGAGCUGAAAACAAGGGCGAUGUAGGGCAGUUUUACAGACAGCAAGAUACUGGCUCCACCUAUGAAUUUGUGAAAAGCGUAUUGUUCAGCAGCUGUGAAUAGCUCUAAAUAAUUCUCCUUAGGAUUGAGUAACUGCAUCAAAUUGGUUUCAAGCAUUUAAUUUUAUUUAUAAAUUCGUGUAAUGUUCUGUGUGGUGCUUUGAAGGAUCUAAAAAUGUGUGCAAAUAUUGUACCUAAUCUGGAAACUUAUUUUCUUUUCUAGGACUGUUGUGAUUUGUUUGAUGUAUACAUUAUCAGUCUAGCUCAUAAUUCAUAUAAAUACUCCAUCCACUGGAGCUCACAUUCCAUAAAGUUAUUUCCUUAUCACCAACCUCUAGAAAAAUCAAAGAAAUUGGCAGCUAAACCAACAUUAUAAUCUAAGUUUACUUGACUUUCAGAUCUUCACUGAUAAUUGACUGGGCAGAUUGCCUGAUGUAAUCAUGGAUUUUGCCUCAAAGUACUCAGUGACAUCACUGAUAUAAAUCCUGAUGUACCACAAUGGAAGAAGAGACCUGGCUCACUGAUGCUACAGCCCCGCAGCUGCUCUUUGGAAAUCCUGCUCCUAAGUUUAGUGCAAAUAUCUCAUUUUUAACAGCCGUAGAGACAUGGGCCCUCAACUAACUUAAAAUCUAUAACUUACAGACUGUGUUAUUGGAAUCUAUUUUUUUUAAAAAAAGGUAUUCAGGAUAAGUAUUGCAGCUGAGUUUGGAUAAUGAGAAGAUUGAGAAGCCAUCUAGAUAAGGGAGUAUAGGUGGACUAUGGAAUGACAAGUACUUAUUUUGUUCUUACAGCUGGAGUUGAUAGUUUAUGCAGUUUAGCAGUUCUGGUUAUAACAACAAAUGAUAUAAGAAAACCUGUACAUACUAAAAAGUCAAAACCUGAAGAUAUGCUGGUUUCCCAGCCAAGUAACAUAUUUUAUAGGGAGUGAGCUAUAUAAGAAUGUUCAAUAAACGCAGUAAAACUACUCUUGUUUUUGCAGAUGUUGGUGUCAGUUCUGUAAUCCUUGUAUGAUUCAACUUCAGUAGCAGCUUGACAAACUCUCAUUUUUCAAUUAAAACCCCAUUUUUUAAAAAAAACCCAAGGAGCCAGUUUUAUUCACUUAUUCCAAAACACCAAAUCUCUACUUUUUGAGAAGGUAAAAAAGGAUUGGCAGGUAAGUCCUGCACUGGUCCAUUUGUCCAGAAAUAUGUACAGGUGCAAGCAGAUUGCUUAUUUUCAGAGAAAAACUGUAACUAUGUUCUUGAGAUACAGAGCAGGCUUUGACUGAGCAGUGCUGACUUGCCUUGUUACAGACAGGAAGCCCUAGACAUGUGAAGGCAGAACGUCCUAUUUCAGGCUUUAGCUACUCCUUCAUAAAAAACCCAUGGAGGACAGUGCUUCGAUAAUUAUUUUUUCAGUGACUGAAUAUAAGGUGGAGUGUCAUGAUAAUCAGAACUCUAUUACAGUGAAAAGAUGUUGCUGAGAUUUUUUUUUUCUCACCUGAUGGUGUCUUCCAUUUGGUUUGUGCGGCUGCAUAUGAUGAGAUAUUAUUUAGGGCACUGAGAAGUGGCCUGUACAAAAGGUUGCAAUAACUAUUGAAUGUCUUGAGACUAUCAGAGGCUAAACUUUCUGUUGCAGUCUGCAGAGUCCUCUGAGACAAUGGGAAUUUUUCACAAGACUGUGUGGAAUUAAAUCUUAAAAAGUGUUGAGCUUCCUUAGCUCUGCUGCAGAAUGCACUACCUCUACAGAGCAUUUUCAGAGCAGCUGGAAUGGGUGUCACUGGUCAAGAAGAGCGUCCCCCCUGUCUCUAUUCGGGCAUGUUCGUGAGAACACAUCUUGCUUUGCCACUCGUUACAUUUGCACAGAACCCAGAAAACUGGUGUUUGUAAGAGCAGUAUGUAAUCCUGGGAAAGGCUUAGUGAAUUCUUUGAACUGGCAGCUCAGGGUGCUGUUGUUACUCAGAGUUGAUGGUAUGGGUUAUGCAGUCACUAGGGGUGCGGUGUUAGGCUGUGAUUAGUGAUUCUUUAUGGGCUUUCUAUGCAUGUGAGUCAUAAGCCACAGUAGUAAACAUUUUUACCCACUAAUCUCUUGGUCCAGUUCCUUUCCCCUUGUCUGACAGCCCUUCCAAUCCAGCAGUCCCUAUAUAAGGACAUGUUGACAUGUUGCAUAUCAUUCAGCCCUCUUCUCUGGAUGUUAGGGGAGUUUUAACCUUGAGUAAUAGGAACUCUUCUUACAGCUUUGUAAUUUACUUAGUAGAGCCUGUUCCUUUCUAGUGGCUGGCAUUAUUUCUUUCUGUAUAUUUUCUGUGUUCUAUGGAACAUAAAUGAGUAUUUUUUCAAAUCAUAAUUACAGACAGAAAGCCAUCUGUGACAGACAUUUGGAGAAUAUGCAAUGUAUCUUAUUGAGCAUCUUUUAAUAGACUCUGCUUUUUGGUAUGGACUAACCUUCCUUUCAAGAGAAGGAGAAAUUUUUGUGAAAUGAUUUUAGUGAUCUUUCUCACAUUCUCAGCUGUCUACACUAGAUAAUAUGGUCAGCUGCAAGCUUAGUGAUGGCAUGUAUUUUUAAAUCCAGAAAGGAAAAUAGACUGUCGCUUUCUAUGUGCUGAUAUAUUAAAACGUAUUUUAUAUUGCUAAACAGAGCAUAUCUACUUUUGGUAAAGAUGAUGUCUUAGUACAUGUACUAUCACAUGGCAUGGUGCCAGUGGGACAUCUGAGCACAGUAACGACAGAGAAAUUAAAGAGCAUACAGUUGACGUACUAGUUAGCUUUGUUUAAUAUUGAUUACCUCUGCUAAUAUCUGACUCUUGUUGCUCUCCUGGUGUUCCUCACAUCACCAUUGCUCUUUGAGCCAAAGGAAAAAACUGGUGAUUAUACAAUUACAAGAACCUGAUGUCUGCUCGUGCUCCUUCACUCUAUCAUGAUGCAACACGAUCUUAGCAAAAAUGAGAAUCAGGUUUUGAACACCAUCUGAGGUCAUCUAACUCUUAGAUAUAAAUCUUCUGCACAUCUAUUCACAAAGUUCCAGUGCCUACAAUGUAUUUUGAGGUCAAAGAAACAAGGAAAGGAGAGAAUACUGAAACUCUGGUGAGAAGUCUCAGUAUCUGGGAGAUCUCAAGGGCCUGAGAAAUUGUAGUGUCAAAUUCUCCUUAGCAGUAAAAACCACUGCAAUUUUUACAGUGAGAAAGCAAGAAAAGGAAAGAGCAUAAUGGGAAGACUGACACUGGAUACAUGGUUACUCACUGCUGUGCCUUUUCCCUUUCUUUAUUUUUUCUUGUGUUAUGUAAGAUUAUCUCCAUUGUCAUUUAAAUUAAUGUACAUUUAUGGUACUUAACUGCUAACAGGAAAAUAUCAUUUUUAGAUCAAAGAGUAGUUAAUGAAUCAGAAGCACUCAUUCAACAGUUGGCAAUUGCAGUAAUUUGCUGUUAUGUAUUGCACGUGCAACCACCAACUUACAAACCUGUAGUAUCAAUAUCAGCUAAUUGAAAUGCUGUAUCUGGUAGCAUUUAACAUGAAAGGGCUGAUUUGCUUUAGCCUGUGUUCUCCUCUGUGAUUCACUGCUUUUUCUCUAGCACAUAUGGAGGGCGUCCAUUGCAAGGACUAGCAUUAGCACUACAAGAGUUGGCAAUUUUGUUUGCGUAAGGAAUACUGGGAUGUAAAGGGCUCUGCUUGGGGAGCAUGUGUCUUUCCUCUGCGAACUGGAUGAAGACCAUGAUCUUUCACAGAAAAAAAAAAAAGAUCAUAAUCUUCUAAGAUUGUUUUUUUAAGGAUUGUAAAUCAAAACACAAAUCAAAUAUUUAGGAGCACUUGUAGAAGACCUACAGUUACCAUAUAGUUUUAGCUCCAAGAAAGAAAAGAUACACAACUUCAUAUGUUUCAUAGUCUUUCCUAGAGCAAAAUAAAUUAAGCUAGUAAUUUAAACUAAUAAAAAAAUUAAGAUGAGAAUAAGCUAAUUCAGUCUACUUUAAGCUAGCAUUGAACUUCUUGUUCUCUUAA